UACGUAGGGACCGAGCGUUAUCCGGAAUCAUUGGGCGUAAAGAGCGUGUAGGCGGCCACUUAAGUCCUGCGUGAAAUCUUGCGGCUCAACCGCAAGCGGUCGUGGGAAACUGGGUGGCUAGAGUGCGGGAGAGGAGAGUGGAAUUCCUGGUGUAGCGGUGAAAUGCGCAGAUAUCAGGAGGAACACCGGUGGCGAAGGCGGAUCUCUGGGCCGAUACUGACGCUGAGGAGCGAAAGCGUGGGGAGCGAACAGG
rnacentral:rRNA from 1 species